rnacentral:rRNA from 1 species
UGAGGAAUUUUCCGCAAUGGGCGAAAGCCUGACGGAGCGACGCCGUGUGGGUGAUGAAGGUUUUCGGAUCUUAAAGCCCUGUCAGCGAGGACGAUAUCGACUGUACUCGCAGAGGAAGCCCCGGCUAACUACGUGCCAGCAGCCGCGGUAAUACGUAGGGGGCGAACGUUGUCCGGAAUUAUUGGGCGUAAAGCGCAUGUAGGCGGUUUUAUAAGUCAGAUGUAAAAUCCCCGGGCUCAACCCGGGUUCGCAUUUGAUACUGUAGAGCUAGAGUAAUGUAGAGGAAAGCGGAACUUCCGGUGUAGCGGUGAAAUGCGUAGAUAUCGGAAGGAACACCAGUGGCGAAGGCGGCUUUCUGGACAUUUUCUGACGCUGAGAUGCGAAAGUUAAGGGAGCAAACGGG